rnacentral:rRNA from 1 species
GCCGGAUUAAUACCGCAUACGAUCUAAGGAUGAAAGCGGGGGAUCUUCGGACCUCGCGCUAUAGGGUUGGCCGAUGGCUGAUUAGCUAGUUGGUGGGGUAAAGGCCUACCAAGGCGACGAUCAGUAGCUGGUCUGAGAGGACGACCAGCCACACUGGGACUGAGACACGGCCCAGACUCCUACGGGAGGCAGCAGUGGGGAAUUUUGGACAAUGGGCGAAAGCCUGAUCCAGCAAUGCCGCGUGUGUGAAGAAGGCCUUCGGGUUGUAAAGCACUUUUGUCCGGAAAGAAAUCAUCCUGGCUAAUAUCCGGGGUGGAUGACGGUACCGGAAGAAUAAGCACCGGCUAACUACGUGCCAGCAGCCGCGGUAAUACGUAGGGUGCGAGCGUUAAUCGGAAUUACUGGGCGUAAAGCGUGCGCAGGCGGUUUGUUAAGACAGAUGUGAAAUCCCCGGGCUUAACCUGGGAACUGCAUUUGUGACUGGCAAGCUAGAGUAUGGCAGAGGGGGGUAGAAUUCCACGUGUAGCAGUGAAAUGCGUAGAGAUGUGGAGGAAUACCGAUGGCGAAGGCAGCCCCCUGGGCCAAUACUGACGCUCAG